GUGGGGAAUAUUGCACAAUGGGGGAAACCCUGAUGCAGCCAUGCCGCGUGUGUGAAGAAGGCCUUCGGGUUGUAAAGCACUUUCAGCGAGGAGGAAAGGUUGAUGCCUAAUACGUAUCAACUGUGACGUUACUCGCAGAAGAAGCACCGGCUAACUCCGUGCCAGCAGCCGCGGUAAUACGGAGGGUGCAAGCGUUAAUCGGAAUUACUGGGCGUAAAGCGCACGCAGGCGGUUGGAUAAGUUAGAUGUGAAAGCCCCGGGCUCAACCUGGGAAUUGCAUUUAAAACUGUCCAGCUAGAGUCUUGUAGAGGGGGGUAGAAUUCCAGGUGUAGCGGUGAAAUGCGUAGAGAUCUGGAGGAAUACCGGUGGCGAAGGCGGCCCCCUGGACAAAGACUGACGCUCAGGUGCGAAAGCGUGGGGAGCAAACAGGAUUAGAUACCCUUGUAGUCC
rnacentral:rRNA from 1 species